AACGCGAAGAACCUUACCCGGGCUUGAACUACAGAUGGUAGGUCCCUAGAAACAGGGGCCGACCCGCAAGGGAGUCUGCAGAGGUGCUGCAUGGUUGUCGUCAGCUCGUGUCGUGAGAUGUUGGGUUAAGUCCCGCAACGAGCGCAACCCUUGUUUGCUGUUGCCAUCACGUUAUGGUGGGCACUCUGCAAAGACUGCCGGUGAUAAACCGGAGGAAGGUGGGGAUGACGUCAAGUCAGCAUGGCCUUUAUGUCUGGGGCUACACACGUGCUACAAUGGCCGAUACAAACCGUCGCGAGCCCGCAAGGGGGAGCUAAUCGGAGAAAGUCGGUCUCAGUUCGGAUAGCAGGCUGCAACUCGCCUGCUUGAAGUUGGAAUCGCUAGUAAUCGCGGAUCAGCACGCCGCGGUGAAUACGUUCCCGGGCCUUGUACACACCGGAGUA
rnacentral:rRNA from 1 species